CUCAGAACAGGUCAGGGCUGGGGAGGAGAGACGUCCACUGCUCACUCAGCUCUUGGCUCCUUCAUGGCACAGUUCUGGGCUGGAAGCCAUGAUCCUGGUCUACUACAUGGCUGGGAGAGUGACUGAAUUACUUUGUCUCCCAAACCUAGGAAAGGAUACCUUAGCAAGAAUGCUUGUCUGCUGGAGAGACCACAUCUGGAGUUCUGAAUUGAGAUGCAGAUCCUGUGUAUAAGAAGGACAUAGGAAGAGCUGUAUGUCAGAGGAGGAGAAGCAGAGACUCCCACACCACGUUGUGGGAAGAACCUGCUUCGUGCUCAGGGGUCUUCCUUCUCUUUCUAGGCAGAAAUGUCUAAAGAAACAGCCUAGCAUUGCCGUGUCACCACUGAGCAAGAGACCCCCUUCUCAUUAAGGAAUUUGGAGUGAAAUGACACAGCGCAUGAAAAAGUUCUCUGUGGAGUUAUCAGCAUUUUUUCAAAUAAAUUAUUUAUAUUUUUU
rnacentral:lncRNA from 1 species